UCCCUCCACCCUUCCACCUCCUGCACAGCGUUCGCACCUCCUCUUCGCUGGGCUCGGCUGCAUCCCCAUCGCCGACAACCCUCAGACCCUGGGGUGCGUGCUCCGCGCCCUCCGGUCCCCGGGGCCGGCCAGAGCCUCUUCCCGCGCCCCCCCCCCCCCAUCGUCUCCCACCCCUAGGACCACAUCAGCAUCGCGGAAGACUUGGUCCCUCACCCCUCGUCCCCUACCUGUCAGGAAGGAGGAAGCCAGAGACAAGGGGACCCCCGAGCAAUUGAGCAGCAGCAAGACGCAGCAGGUUGUUGUCAUGCAAAAAAAGGCUGACACACAUAGCAGCAUACUGGGGAGAUGGCCUAGCAGUUAAAGAGCUUGCCUGAAAAGCCUAAGGACCCGUGUUGGACUCUCCAGAGCCCACAUAAGCCAGAUGUACAAAGGAUGAAAAGAGAUAUUUGGCAUGGAUCAAAUAUGAUGUGUGGUAGUACAGAAGCCCAGUCUGUUGUGAGCCUGUGAACAAGCUUAGACCAAUGAACUGAAGACGCUUACUCAAAUGCAUUGGUUAAGAGCAUAGGGACUCAAGUCAGAUGGACACAGGUUUGAAUUCUGACUUCUGACUCACAGGGGAAGCUUCAGCAUACUGGAGGAAGAUGACUGAUUCCAUCAUACAUAGCAGAGAGAGAAAAGCCAAAGCCAGCAAGCAUGUACAGCCGGAGCUCAGACUGGCUCUCUACAUACCUUAGGGCUGGACUCAAGAUUCACUUACAAUGGCAUACCUUUUCCAGCAAGCUACUGCAACCGACAGAGAAAAGACUUCUUCAUUGACAUUGGAUCUUCAUCUGUCUAGAAAAGGGUCAGACCCACAGAGGACACUCAGUGUUUGAAAGCUUCAUGCCUCGUUCCACUGAGAGCCUCCUCAGCAGGGUCUCUGGCGGUCCCUGUGGAGGAUGAAUGCACCUGUCAGUCCCUGUGGGUUCAGUGUCUCAGAACACACCUCCACUCUGUGACUCUUACAUUCUUUCUGUCCCAUCUUCCCCAGUGUUCCAGAGCCUUGAAGGAGUCCCAACGAAAGGCUUCCAUUGGCGUUUGAGUUCCUAGGACCUCACCUAAGCUCUUUCGGAAGACUUGGAGCACAGGUGCAAAAAGAAACUUGAGAAAGCAAACACCCAAGUCCAGACACUAUUUAUCUACCACGGAACAUGUGCUCCAUGCUAAAAAAGAAAGCUUACGUUUUCUUUUUGUGCUUCUCAUAUCAAGACAUGGGAAGUUUGGACCACAAAAUGGAGUGAGGCUCCGGGUCAAAAAGCAUCGUGAGUCAACAUCCGAAAGGCCGCCCUGAUCACGGGUUUGUCCUGCCAGUAGGUGUUACUUUAGCUAUUAAUCUGGGGUGAUCUGUGGAUGGAGGAUGGUCGCCUCCUGCCAAGAAACACACAACAAACCUCCAAACCAAACUGAAAUCUGCCAGUUCUGCAAGUCUCCUCUAAAGGCAGCAUUGGGCCCCUUCGACAGGAUCCAGAGCUUGCCUGGUAGACCUGAUGGCUGCUCCCACCUGGUGGGGUGGUAGCCGGGAGCGUCCUGGUUGCCAUCAGAGGCCCCACGUCAUUAUUCAAAGUGGCUGUUGGCACUGGGAUUAGCGUGACUUAAUGCCAUCGCACACGAAUCAUCCUCCCCCUCCGUCUGAAGCCACGAGAGUCCAUCCACCACUAUUUAUUGGCUUUGGUUUCAUUCUCCGUGAUUUAAGUUCUUUUCAGCAUACAUUCCCUGCCCUCCGUUUUAUUUCUCUCCCAGGGAGCUUUACUCUCUGGCUAGAGGACCUAAGUCUGUGUUUAGCGAUUUAAAGCAAGUGGUCUAUGAAGCCAAAGGCCUCAAGCUCAAACAGACUUCCCCAUUGGUCUGCACCACAUGUACAAUGCAUCUUGGGUUAGCCUUCCUGUGCUCCUUGAGCCUAUGUGGCUUUGAAGAGUCCUCCAAGCCAGUAGGAGGUGCUACAGCUUAUCAGCAAUAAGACAACCACUUCCUGGGUUGUUUGACAGUCGCUCUCUGGUGUGGUUGCCAUGCUUUUAACUCAGCUUCCACAUUGUUCAUUCUCUCAUCCAAAGAACACAUAAUCUAGGGACCAGCAAGCUUUAUUAUGUAAUGGGAGAGACAGCAUGUAUUUUAGGCUUGGUGGGCUAUGCAGCCUGUAUUGCAACUAUAGAUGACUCCAAUGCUAUGGCUCAAUUUACAAUUUUUGACUUUACAAUGGUGCAAUGGGGACGUGCAUUCAGUAGAAGCAACUCAUUGAGCUUUGAUUUUGACUCUUUCCCCAGGCUGGUAAUUUGCACUGUGAUCUUAUCUUGUAAUGCUGAGUGGUGGCAGUGAGCUCAGCUUCCAGACACACAGUUGUAAACAACUGGCUGUCUGCAGUACACUGAACUGGUGAUGUACUAUGUUUGGUAGGUUAACUGGGUUAAAUGCACUUUGACCUAAGAUAUUUUCACCUCACAGGGUUUAUCAGGAUGUG